AUUGGUCACCUUCUGGGAGGAGACUUUUCUUUUUAGCGGUCGAGUUACUGGAGCAGACGACAGCAAGGCGGUGAGAGACGGAGAUGGUUUUGAUUGGCAGAUACGGAAACAAAAGACAACAUCCCUGACCUUUGACCUCACAUCGGAUCAGGAAUAACUGCCAAGAAAUAGAAAAAACCCUUUCAGGGGAAAAAAGGGAAGAAACCUUCAGGAGAGCAACAGAGGAGGAUUCCUCUCCAGGUUGGACAGAAGCAAUUCUUUCAAUUUUAAACGUCCUGAAUACUAUUCUUGUUAUUACUAAAACACAUAUUUCUCCAUCUGGAUCACGCUGAUGAUUGGAGUGACAUUGGAUGGCGAGCUACGAUUGGAUUAAGAGAAUCAAGUCCCGCCUCCUUGUGUGGUAGGAGUACGAACUUCUUUUCACAUACUCACAUACUACUCCUCCAAACUGAGUGAUAUUGUGGGUGCUCAUUAAUGGCCGCAUGCUCAAGGACCACUCGUGGUUGCAGUGCCGUUUGAUACUCCAACUGAUUGACUGCCGACUCCUCACUCACGACUCUUAACCGCAGGGGAGUAGUCGGAGAUCACACAGUGCACUGUUCGCACUGUUCGCACUGUUCGCACUGUUCUCACUGUUCACACUGGGAGUGCGUAGAAGGCCCGUUUCAAGGCACCCCGAGCACUCUUCUUUAUUUGGUAGGCCGCUCGUCACUUUUAAGUACGGACAGCUGUGAAGACAGCAGGCUGACGGUCAGCUGACCGGCAGCGGUUGGAAAAGUGAAAUGGGAAGAGGAAGAUACUGCGAGGGAAGAGAGACUCUGACUAAAUACACAAUCUAAACGCUGUAAACUAAGUCUGUGGCUUAAAAAAAAAGAAUACAGACAGUGUAAAAUAAACUCUCUCAUCUGUCUUUUAUUCCCUCCAUAUUGUUUUAGUUGUAAUUCCAACAGAGACAUUGGGUAUUUUCGACUGUGAAACACAAAAGAUAAUCACGUUAAGUCAGUCGAAAACAUUUUUCUGCCUCGUUUCUCCUUUUAAUCUUGCUGGAAGAAAAAAAUUAAAAUAAGAAGGAGAAAGAGAGAAAUCCCCCCCCCCCCCCAUGUGUGAUAAAAAUAUCAAUUCUUAUAUUUAAUUAAAACUUGACAUUUGGAACGCCUUCAGCUGACAAAAAGAUGACACAGAGCAGAGCCUCUCUACAGAGAGCCAAUAGGGCGGCUCGUUCACAUUCAGAUAAUCGCCCAAUAGCGAGCUCCAGUAGUCGGGUAGAGGAGCGGUUAUGAUCUGAUCUUGUUAACCCGAAGCUAUGUUUCUCUCUUUGUCUCCUUAGGAAACCUAGAACGCUCUACCCUCGGUCAGACUCUCUGGACCGAGGGCACAAAGGCAACAAAACAGGCUUGUUUAGUUUCCUGCUGUUUGCACGAGCUCUUCUACUUCAUUGUUGUUGGGUUUUAUUGUGUGUUUUUUUAUUGCAUUCGCAGGAACUGGAGAUUAGCUAUCUCCUCAUGUUCGCUGAAGCGGUUGCUUUUAUAUAUAUAUAUAUAUAUAUAUAUAUAUAUUGUGGCAGACCAGGGGGAAAAGCAGAGCAGACAAGGCCCAGGAGGCGGAUCCCAAAGCUCAGGUUGGGGGAAGUGAUCCACGGGGCGUACUUCCCAGUGCAGGUGCUACAGCCAAUUGGCACAUGGGAGUGGUCACACCUGCAGCCCAUCAGCUGAUGAGAGACAGAGACUAUAUCUACCCUCCACUGGAAGGCAUCAGGGGAGAGCAGCCUGAACAUUGGAACCUCAGGAGAGGAGCCGCAACAGACCGGAGGUAACUGGACCCUCUCUGCUCUGCACAUACAGGAGAUGGGAACCGUCUCACACCAGGUGUGAGACCAAAGACCCCGACCGGGAAGAAUCCUUUGUUGCCGGUAGAUGCCCAUUCCCCCCUUGUCCUAUACGUUUUAUUAAAAGACACUUUAUUUUG